rnacentral:lncRNA from 10 species
GGCUCGCGGCCGGAGUGCGGCGCUGGGCGGAAGCUACCAUGGCGGCCGAGCGAAAGACAAGGUUGUCCAAGAAUCUACUGCGCAUGAAGAUGGGACUGUCUAGUUUCAGGAAAACAAGCUCAGGUCUUCCACUGAUUCUUCAUUGUGUUUAUGCAAAGGGGACUGGACUCAGAAACCAAGAAACAACUAGAAGAAGAAGAAAAGAAAAUCAUUAGUGAAGAGCACUGGUACUUGGAUUUGCCAGAGCUUAAAGAGAAAGAGGAGAUCAUGGAAUGGAUUGGUUGAUUAAGCACAUGGGCUCUGAAGUCAGGCAGACCUGGGUUUGAUGCCCAGCUCCGCCAGUUGUUUACUUGUCACCUUGGGAGUUUCAUAAUAGAAGAGCAGAGUUUCUUACUAUGUGAAGAUCUUCUCUAUGGAAGAAUGUCAUUCAGAGGAUUUAAUCCUGAGGUUGAGGUAUUAAAUAUAAUUGCUUCAAAUUAAAAAUUUUUCCAAUUGAAUUUUUUUCUGCUAAUAAUUGGGCUUAGGUGUUUCUCCACCAGGUACCAUUUCUACUCAUUAUAUAGAAAAUAACAAGUCUUGAAAUAUCGCCAUAGCUAUUUAAAGAAAUUGGAGGCAUUGCAGUCUAGUUUUAUGGUAGAGGUGAGUAGAUAAUUUCAUAUAGCAGUAUACAGCCCUUGACAGAGCCACCAUAAAUAUUAAAAUUUCAAGUU